AAAGCAGGCCAGGCAGUCGCGGCCUCGCCGCCUUCGGGCAGGCGGGGACGAGGAAAGUCCGGACUCCACAGGGCAGGGUGAUGGCUAACGGCCAUCCGUGGCGACACGCGGAACAGGGCAACAGAAAGCAAACCGCCGAUGGCCCGGCGCAAGCCGGGAUCAGGUAAGGGUGAAACGGUGCGGUAAGAGCGCACCGCGGCGACGGCGACGUCCGCCGGCACGGUAACCUCCACUCGGAGCAAUUCCAAGUAGGCAGGCGCGCAUCUUCGGAUGCAGGACGGGGCCCCCCGUCUCGCCUGCGGGUAGGAAGCUUGAGCGCGUCAGCAAUGGCGCGCCUAGAGGAAUGGCUGCCACGCGUUGUGCGCUUCGGCGCGCGGCGCGCACAGAAUCCGGCUUAUCGGCCUGCUUUGCCG
rnacentral:RNase_P_RNA from 1 species